UUCACUGCAGCUCAAGUGGUGGACAGAAUGAGUCGGGGAGGCGUCUCAAGUGUGUAACGGCAGUGGACUAAGCAUUCAUGUGUGGGAGGAGGAGUUAAAUCUCAAUGUGUAACAUCUUUAUCUGGAUUUCUCUUUUAUCCCCCGUCAGUCCAACUGUACGAGCAGAAUGGAACGUCGAUGUUACACGUGGCACUGGAGCGUCAAGGCAACAUUUUAACAUUCAAGGCUGCGCCAGGAUCAGCUGAGCCUCCUGGAGACGCACGCACUGUAAUGCCAAUGAACUGCUGGUCAGUUUGAUACGUCAUAUCCGG